GUGCUUGAUUUGGCAGCACAAAUGCUAAAAUUGGAACAACACAGAAAGGAUUAGCACAGCCCCCACAUGAGUGUAGCAUGCAAAUUCCUGAAGUUUCUAUAUUUUU
ensembl:snRNA U6 U6 spliceosomal RNA